GCGACCAGGCCACUUGGACUUGAACCAGGGCCCAUAUCUCCUUACCGGAGGCAGGCAUGGGGGAAUUUGGAACAAUGGCGCCAAGCUGAUCAGGCCAUGCCGCGUGCAGAAUGAAGCUUCGGGUUGUAAACUGCUUUUGUACGGAACGAAAAAGACUCUGGUUAAUACCUGGGGUCCAUGACGGUACCGUAAGAAUAAGCACGGCUAACUACGUGCCAGCAGCCGCGGUAAUACGUAGGGUGCGAGCGUUAAUCGGAAUUACUGGGCGUAAAGCGUGCGCAGGCGGUUAUGUAAGACAGAGGUGAAAUCCCCGGGCUCAACCUGGGAACUGCCUUUGUGACUGCGAGGCUAGAGUAUGGCAGAGGGGGGUGGAAUUCCACGUGUAGCAGUGAAAUGCGUAGAGAUGUGGAGGAACACCGAUGGCGAAGGCAGCCCCCUGGGCCAAUACUGACGCUCAUGCACGAAAGCGUGGGGAGCAAACAGGAUUAGAUACCCUGGUAGUCCACGCCCUAAACGAUGUCAACUAGGUGUUGGGAGGGUUAAACCUUUUAGUACCGUAGCUAACGCGUGAAGUUGACCGCCUGGGGAGUACGGCCGCAAGGUUAAAACUCAAAGGAAUUGACGGGGACCCGCACAAGCGGUGGAUGAUGUGGAUUAAUUCGAUGCAACGCGAAAAACCUUACCUACCC
rnacentral:rRNA from 1 species